rnacentral:misc_RNA from 1 species
CCUAAGCUACAAGACACGGGAGUUUGAGUAAUGUGAGGAAUGUUUUGGUUUUCCAAUUCAGCUAAUCUCCAAGGUGUCUUAAGAUUAUAGCCCAUAGAACAUCCUUGUCUUGCAAGUAUUUCUCUCUUUCUUUCCCUGAGAGAACCCAAGAAAUCAAGCACAGAAGAGGCAAAUAUCUAGUCUUUUGGUAACUUCCAGGCUUUCAAGUCACGGAAAAAUCUUGAAAAAGAGGC